rnacentral:pre_miRNA from 1 species
AUAGUACUCCCUCCAUCCGAAAAUAUUUGUCGGAGAAAUGGAUGUAUCUAGAUGUAUUUUAGUUCUACAUACAUCCAUUUUUAUCCAUUUCUCCGACAAGUAUUUCCGGACGGAGGGAGUACUAU